GAGAGGAAGUGUGUCCUCCAGGACUCUGGUUCUGCUUUCCCCUCCUCCUCCUCCUCUCUCCAUUUCUCUCCUUCCCCUCCCUCCCCGCCUGCCUCCCUAGAAAAAACCAUCUCAAACCCUGUUCCUCCAAGGGACAGACAGAGUCUGGUGAAUCCACCUGUCACCCCCUCCCUGGCCCUCAGACCCUGUCCAGCAAUGAGCAAGCCACAAGCUCACUCAUCUCACCCACCCAUGGCAGCCAAUGGACACCUUGACUUCCAAGAAUGAGCCAAGAAGAGGACAAGUACCACUGUGCAGACCUGUGUGGAAGCUUCAUGAACGGCCCUAUGACUGCAUGGCUGGGUAUAGAGGGGAUCUGGCUGUCCCAGGACACAGGGAUGAACCUGGUUAGAACGCUGAGCCUUACCUCCUUCAGCUGCCCCACUCUGUGCCCGGCAGCUCUGCACCCAGAGACCAUGCACUUUUAGAACCUAGGAGUCUCUCUCUUUUGGUGACUCUGUCCCUUCUUCAUCCCGAGGCUGCCCAGAUGACCACUGUGUUCAGCACUGUAGAUUCUACCCAUGCAUUGGCCUGGGCCUUCAGACCACUAACGCAACCUCCUCAGGGGCACUCCACCAAAGGACUGCUUUGAUCUCCUGGAACAUCAACCCACCUCCCAGGGGUUGUUCCCUUCCACUUGAGGCUGAGUAACAACCCCAAAGAAGAGAAGGUAGCAGGCACAAUCCUCUGAUAACUCAGCAACAGAUAUCAAUUAUUCUGCACAAAAGCUUUUGGGAAUCCCUCUUGGUACUGGAGACUUGGAAGGGGAGGGGGUGCUAAUGCUAAACCAGAGCAAACUGGUAGAUUCUGAGCCCUAACAAUCCCCCCGGACCUCAGGGCCUAUCAGGGAAGUGCCUCCCCUCAGGAAAACUGCCUUGUCCUUCUUCACUUGGCAGAGAGCCCAUGUUUUAACUCUCCCUUAUCAGCUUGUAGCCCAGAGCCAUAAUGGAGACCUGACAAGAGGGAGGAAGUCCCCAGGAAUCAAGUGCAUCCCCUAGCUGGGUGCAGGUGCAGAGAAGGGCGGAUCCAGAUUGAGUCUUCCACUGCAGGGAGUCCUAACACCCUCAGGACCUGAGGCUAUCUUCCUCUAGGAAAGAGGAAAAUCAGGGUCAAGAUCUCUAUGCUUAUGGAGAUAACUAGAGGAUCCCACUAGUGACUUGAAAACAAAUAGGUUUCAUGUGCAAGUGUUUUGUAAAAAUUCCAUGAAAGUGCACAAAGAAAUCUUCUGGCUUCUCCUGUUUUGUUUUUUUGUUUUUGUUUUUUUUCAAGUUUUUUUCCAGUUUAAUGAUCCCCACCCCAACAGGUCGGGCUGGCCCAGCCUGGGAAAAACAUCCCAACGCCUAACUUCAGCCUGACCUGUGUGUCUUUGUGUUGAGAGAGCUCGUCAGCUAGCAAGUCUUCUUAGAGUUAAAGGAGAGGGUGCUGGGGGAAAGCCAGCACAUUCUUGGCCAUGGGCAUUGCUUCUCUGUGAAUUCAUUAUGCCAUCUGGCUGCCAAUGGAACUCAAAACUUGGAAGGCGGAAGACAAUGUUAUCUGGGAUUCACCGUGCCCAGCACUUGAAGUGCCAAAUUCCAGGAGGACAAGAACCUUAGCCAAUGACAACUCACCCUCCCCUACUCCACCUCCUUCAAAGUCCAGCUUGGGCCCAGGAGGUGGGGGAAGGUCACAGAGUCUCGGGACAGACCUAGUCAGAGUCCCCUUUUGUCUAGAUCCCCUGGGGACUUGAUGAAAUGACCAUUAACCCUCCAGGCCAGCCCCAGAGCUGAAGGGGAUUGCUGACUCACAGCGUCCUGCAGUAGGGACUCCAGGAGGGAUCUGCGACAUGCCCAAGACAAAAAGUACUCCGGAGCCCAUGGUGGAGAUGUGAUUGGAAACACACUGGACCAGGAAAAACACUGAAGAAAACCUCAGUGUUGAGAUAUUUUGGAAAGAACACAAAUGUCGCCUAGACGCAAAAGGGUCGGGGGGGGGGCCGGGGGGUGAUGUAGCAAAAUAAUCCAGAAUUAUCCAGAAUUUCAAAACUUUGAAUGUUCUGAUACUUUAGUUGAGAUUUUUUGUUUUGUUUGGGGUCGUUUGUUUGUUUGUUUGUUUGUUUUAACAGUAAUGGUUUCAUACAUUCUAGGCAAGUGCUCUACCACUGAGCUACAUCCCCCGUCCUUGUUCUUGCUGACACUAACCUGUGACACACGAUUCCCAG
rnacentral:lncRNA from 1 species